rnacentral:rRNA from 1 species
UUGCUUCUUUGAGACUUAGCGGCGGACGGGUGAGUAACACGUAGGCAACCUGCCCUUUAGCCUGGGAUAACUACCGGAAACGGUAGCUAAUACCGGAUACUUUCUUUUUCUGCAUGGGAGAAGAACGAAAGACGGAGCAAUCUGUCACUGAAGGAUGGGCCUGCGGCGCAUUAGCUAGUUGGUGGGGUAACGGCUCACCAAGGCGACGAUGCGUAGCCGACCUGAGAGGGUGAUCGGCCACACUGGGACUGAGACACGGCCCAGACUCCUACGGGAGGCAGCAGUAGGGAAUCUUCCGCAAUGGGCGAAAGCCUGACGGAGCAACGCCGCGUGAGUGAUGAAGGUUUUCGGAUCGUAAAGCUCUGUUGCCAGGGAAGAACGUCUUGGAGAGUAACUGCUCCGAGAGUGACGGUACCUGAGAAGAAAGCCCCGGCUAACUACGUGCCAGCAGCCGCGGUAAUACGUAGGGGGCAAGCGUUGUCCGGAAUUAUUGGGCGUAAAGCGCGCGCAGGCGGCCGUUUAAGUCCGGUGUUUAAUCCCGAAGCUCAACUUCGGGUCGCACUGGAAACUGGAGGGCUUGAGUGCAGAAGAGGAGAGUGGAAUUCCACGUGUAGCGGUGAAAUGCGUAGAGAUGUGGAGGAACACCAGUGGCGAAGGCGACUCUCUGGGCUGUAACUGACGCUGAGGCGC